AUUGAACGCUGGCGGCAGGCUUAACACAUGCAAGUCGAGCGGGGGAAGGUAGCUUGCUACCGGACCUAGCGGCGGACGGGUGAGUAAUGCUUAGGAAUCCGCCUAUUAGUGGGGGACAACAUCUCGAAAGGGAUGCUUAUACCGCAUACGUCCUACGGGAGAAAGCAGGGGAUCUUCGGACCUUGCGCUAAUGGAUGAGCCUAAGUCGGAUUAGCUAGUUGGUGGGGUAAAGGCCUACCAAGGCGACGAUCUGUAGCGGGUCUGAGAGGAUGAUCCGCCACACUGGGACUGAGACACGGCCCAGACUCCUACGGGAGGCAGCAGUGGGGAAUAUUGGACAAUGGGGGGAACCCUGAUCCAGCCAUGCCGCGUGUGUGAAGAAGGCCUUAUGGUUGUAAAGCACUUUAAGCGAGGAGGAGGCUACUUUAGUUAAUACCUAGAGAUAGUGGACGUUACUCGCAGAAUAAGCACCGGCUAACUCUGUGCCAGCAGCCGCCGUAA
rnacentral:rRNA from 1 species